UACAGAGGUCUCAAGCGUUGUUCGGAUUCAUUGGGCGUAAAGGGUGUGUAGGCGGCGCGGUAAGUCGGGUGUGAAAUCUCGGAGCUUAACUCCGAAACUGCAUUCGAUACUGCCGUGCUUGAGGACUGGAGAGGAGACUGGAAUUUAUGGUGUAGCGGUGAAAUGCGUAGAUAUCGUAAGGAAGACCAGUGGCGAAGGCGGGUCUCUGGACAGUUCCUGACGCUGAGGGCACGAAGGUCAGGG
rnacentral:rRNA from 1 species